rnacentral:rRNA from 1 species
CUACGGGCGGCAGCAGUGGGGAAUAUUGGACAAUGGGGGAAACCCUGAUCCAGCAAUGCCGCGUGUGUGAAGAAGGCCUGCGGGUUGUAAAGCACUUUCGGUUGGGAGGACUGCUUCUAGCACUAAUAUUGUUGGAAGUUGACGUUACCUUCAGAAGAAGCACCGGCUAACUCCGUGCCAGCAGCCGCGGUAAGACGGAGGGUGCAAGCGUUAAUCGGAAUUACUGGGCGUAAAGCGCGCGUAGGCGGCUAGAUCAGUCGGGUGUGAAAGCCCCGGGCUUAACCUGGGAACUGCAUCCGAUACUGUCUAGCUUGAGUACAGGAGAGGAGAGUGGAAUUCCACAUGUAGCGGUGAAAUGCGUAGAUAUGUGGAGGAACACCAAUGGCGAAGGCAGCUCUCUGGCCUGAUACUGACGCUGAUGUGCGAAAGCGUGGGGAGCAAACAGGAUUAGAUACCCUCGUAGUC